AAUCCGAUGUCCUUCGCUUGGUGAAUGAGGAGCUGAAGGCCGCGGCUGGUGUAAACAGAAGGUAGGAACCAUGGUGAACUUGGCAGCCUUUGCCCGCCAGUACUGGGCACACAUAUUUGUCCCCACGGGCUUUGUCAUUGGAUGGUACCUUGACAAGCAACAGGACCAGAAGUUGACAGCUUUCAGAAACAAGAGUGCUUUGUACGGAAGGGAACUGAAGCCUGGAGAGGAGGUGACCUGGAGGUAGACUGCUCUCUACUUGAAAGCCUGUGUCGUGUGGUGUGAACGAAUGGGUGUCCUCAAAUCACAAUAUUUAAGAAGACUCCUGUACCUCUGUUUUUGAGUUGUAUCAACCAAUAAUAAAGAUGCCAUUAAUUAAAA